rnacentral:lncRNA from 1 species
AUGCACCCUCGGGCAGCUUGCAGGGGGAUGUUAAGGCAGCUGAGCAGCUUUUUUGAGGUGGGGGAGGGUAACACUCUUAGCAGUAACUCGGGUUCCCCUUCCCCCCCCUGGAAACCGCGGGGGUGGUGGCCCGGGUUCCUGUCCCCUCUUGGCUGGGGGGUGGGGAGGCAGGGUUUGGGAAGAGGACUGCGUGGGGGUAGGCCCGUGUUUCCUUCAUCCUCCUGGAGGCCACGGGGAAAGGGAGAGGCCCGAGUUCCCCUCACCCACGCUAGGCGUGGGGGCGAGGGGAGAGCGCGGGUUGAAGGGCUGCGUAGGGUCGCAGGUCCCCCCACCGUGGGGGUAGGGGCUGCAUUGGGACGCGGAGCCUCCCCAGAGGCCGUGGGGGGGGUGCGGACUCUAGCCCCCCUUCGCCGUGGGGGAGGGGCGGGCCUGGAGUCCCCUCCCCCGGCCGUGGGGGAGGGGCAGGUUUGGGGCGCGACCCCCCCCCCACAGGGCGCAGGGGCGGGGCCGAAUGGACUCGGGUUCCCCUCCCCCUCGCCGUGGCGGUGGGGACGGGUUGGGGGGGUUGGGGCGCGCUCCUCCCCCCCCCGGCUGUGGGGGAGGGGCUGGCCCGGGCGGCGGCGGCCCCCCUGGAAGUCCUCCCGGCCCGGGCCGGCGCGCUGGCGGCCGCUCGCCCUCCACCCGCACCAACCCGGAGGUCACUGCCCGUGCCGGUCCCUCCCGCCGUCCCGCCCUCUCCCGCCGCCGCCGCCACUACCACCGCCGCCGCCGCUCCCGCCCCAGCCCCCCCCCCCCACUCUCCGCUCUCGGGAGCGAGGAGCCGCCAGCGCCCCCGCCCCGCCGCCGCCGCAGCGCCCUCGGCCGCCAUUCGGCACCCGAAACUUUCCAGCGCCCGCGCCUCUCCGGGACUCGCGGCGGCGGGGCGGGGGCGGCCCGGGGGCGGCGCGCGGCUGCUCCAGGGCGCCGGGCCCUCGUCGGCCGCGGCACGGCCCGGUCUCGGCGACGGCCGGCGACAGGGAGGUUCGGCGCGCCGCGGCGCCGCCACAAGUUGCGCUGCUGGCGGCGAGGUGGAGCGCGCGAUGUCCGGGACGCUGCGUGUGACGCUGGGGGGACGUCCGCAGGUGGAGCGCGCGGAGCCCGGAUGCUGCGUGUGACGCUGGGGGGACGUCCGCAGGUGGAGCGCGCGGAGCCUGGACACUGCAUGUGACGCUGGGGGAACGUCCG